UGUUUUCUAUCUCUCACUGUCUUUGCCAUUUUUCUCUUCUCACUACUCACUGCUCGCAUUUUCACUAUCUUUCAUUAUCUUAAGCCGGAGCUUUAUCUCUCUCUUCUGGUAGUGCAACACAAAACCCUAAACCUUCACUUCUACACUCAUCAGAUCUACAACGGGUACAGUUUAAGCUAUCAUGCGCCACUAGUUUCAUUCACAAAUGUCCGAAUCCGAUCCCAAAACUCGCCAACGUCCGGUACAAUGGUCGCCGGCGACAACGCCUGAAACAAAACCACUACCUCCUUCUUCAUGGGCUAAGAAAACCGGUUUCAAGCCUAAAUUCUCCAGCGAGACCAAUGCCGGUGACUCUGGUCAGAUAAGCUUACCGCCUAAGUCCAGAGAACACGACACGAACUCGGAUCUCGAAGCAGGUCGUCUGAAACCUCCUCCUCCGGCGGUAAACGGAGUAACGCACCGAGAGAAGGUUCCACCGCUUCCUCCUUCUAAGGAUUUGGUACCGAAGAAACGGAGAGACUCCGAUGGAGUAGUUCCGAGUACCAAUGGUCAGGCGCCGGCGGAACAACCGGCGAGGAGAACUGCGAGGAGUGAAGAAGUUGUUGGUUCGUUGCCGCAAACUGUUGAUGACGAUUUCUUCGUGACGAGACACUCGCAUAUGAAAUAUGAGCUAAGAGAUUCACCUGGUUUAGUUCCAAUUGGUGUGUAUGGUAUUCAGCAUUAUGUUUCUAUAUUAGGUUCGUUGAUUCUGAUUCCUCUUGUCAUUGUCCCUGCUAUGGGAGGUUCCCAUGAGGAAAUUUCUUCGGUGGUAUCAACUGUGCUCUUUGUGUCUGGAGUGACUACCCUCUUGCAUACUAUUUUUGGGUCUAGGUUGCCUUUGAUACAGGGGCCUUCCUUUGUUUAUCUUGCUCCCGCAUUGGCGAUUAUCAAUUCACCCGAGUUUCAAGGUUUAAAUGGAAAUAAAUUCCAACAUAUAAUGAAGGAGCUUCAGGGGGCUAUAAUUAUUGGAUCUACAUUUCAAACUUUCCUUGGAUAUACUGGACUUCUGUCCCUGUUAGUAAGGUUUAUCAAUCCUGUGGUUGUAUCCCCAACCAUUGCUGCAGUUGGCCUUUCAUUUUAUGGUUAUGGUUUUCCUCUAGUUGGCACAUGUCUUGAAAUCGGUGCAAUACAGAUAUUAGUGGUUAUUGUUUUUUCUCUUUAUCUUCGUAAGAUAUCUGUUUUUGGACACCGCAUAUUUCUAAUUUAUGCAGUUCCUUUGGGUUUGGCUAUUACAUGGGCAGUUGCUUUAUUGCUGACUGAAGCUGGAGCCUACAGCUACAAAGGGUGUGACGUAAACAUACCUGCGUCAAAUAUGGUUUCAGAGCACUGCAGAAAGCACAUUUCAAGGAUGAAAUAUUGUCGAGUUGAUACUUCUCAUGCAUUGAAAUCAUCCCCGUGGUUUAGAUUUCCCUAUCCAUUGCAAUGGGGUACUCCUGUCUUCCACUGGAAAAUGGCUAUUGUGAUGUGUGUGGUUUCCUUAAUCUCAUCCGUAGAUUCGGUUGGCUCAUACCAUGCAUCUUCAUUAUUGGUAGCAUCCAGACCUCCAACUCCUGGGGUUCUUAGUCGCGGAAUUGGUUUGGAAGGUCUUUCUAGUGUGUUGGCUGGUCUCUGGGGUACUGGAACUGGAUCUACAACUUUAACUGAAAAUGUCCAUACAAUUGCUGUGACUAAAAUGGGAAGCCGCAGAGCAGUUCAAUUGGGUGCAUGUCUUCUGAUAUUGUUAUCUCUCGUGGACAGGGAAGGUUGGAGGUUUCAUUGCUUCGAUUCCUGAAGUCAUGGUGGCUGGUCUCCUCUGCUUUAUGUGGGCAAUGCUUACAGCAUUGGGCUUGUCCAAUCUACGCUACAGUGAGGCUGGAAGCUCUCGCAAUAUCAUCAUAAUUGGAUUAUCAUUGUUCUUCUCUCUUUCCAUACCUGCAUACUUUCAACAGUAUGGCAUCUCUCCGAAUUCCAACUUGUCAGUGCCAAGUUAUUUUCAGCCUUAUAUUGUGGCUUCUCAUGGGCCUUUCCAAAGCACAUAUGGAGGGUUGAACUAUGUCCUGAACACGAUAUUUUCACUGCACAUGGUGAUAGCUUUUCUCGUUGCUGUUAUCUUGGAUAAUACCGUACCUGGCAGUAAACAAGAACGUGGCGUAUACGUUUGGUCGGAACCCGAGGUUGCUAGAAGAGAGCCUGCUGUUGUCAGUGACUAUGGGUUGCCAUUGAGAGUCGGUCGGCUUUUCGGAUGGGUGAAGUGGGUUGGCCUGUGAAUUAUGGCGGUCUUGUUGGCUGAUCAUUUUCAGUAUAGGAAUGUUGUCGACUUCCAAGGUAUCACCCCAGUCUAGUUCUCAUUUUGUUGAAUGAGUAGUAUGAUUGGUUGGUCAUAGUUCUGAGUUAAUUUGUGUAAAUCAAAGUUCCGGAGGGGCUUACUUGUGUUAUAAUUUAUUAGAUUAACCAUGUAUCUAGUUUUGAUUCAUUCAUAAUCUCCAGUUGGAGUUUUUUUUUUAAGGCGGGUUUUGACAAAUAUUCUGGUCAUGUAUAUAUGAACAUUAUUAUACCUGCCCAACAGGGACAUGAAAGUUUUUCCUUCGUAUAUUUAUUCCGAUCAACCUAUUAUCUUUGGCA